CCAGCUUGCUGGGUGGAUUAGUGGCGAACGGGUGAGUAACACGUGAGUAACCUGCCCUUAACUCUGGGAUAAGCCUGGGAAACUGGGUCUAAUACCGGAUAGGAGCGCCCACCGCAUGGUGGGUGUUGGAAAGAUUUAUCGGUUUUGGAUGGACUCGCGGCCUAUCAGCUUGUUGGUGAGGUAAUGGCUCACCAAGGCGACGACGGGUAGCCGGCCUGAGAGGGUGACCGGCCACACUGGGACUGAGACACGGCCCAGACUCCUACGGGAGGCAGCAGUGGGGAAUAUUGCACAAUGGGCGAAAGCCUGAUGCAGCGACGCCGCGUGAGGGAUGACGGCCUUCGGGUUGUAAACCUCUUUCAGUAGGGAAGAAGCGAAAGUGACGGUACCUGCAGAAGAAGCACCGGCUAACUACGUGCCAGCAGCCGCGGUAAUACGUAGGGUGCGAGCGUUAUCCGGAAUUAUUGGGCGUAAAGAGCUCGUAGGCGGUUUGUCGCGUCUGUCGUGAAAGUCCGGGGCUUAACCCCGGAUCUGCGGUGGGUACGGGCAGACUAGAGUGCAGUAGGGGAGACUG
rnacentral:rRNA from 1 species